AAUGCAAGCCUUUCCUAUUCUCCCUGUCCCACACCCACCCGGCCGGCUUCAUCCUAAGCGGGUGGCCCCACGGCUGUGAGAGCGGCUGCCAGCCGCGACGGGGGGUCAUGGGUGUUUUUGUUCGAACCUGGCGGGAGAUAGCACACUUCCCUACACGCAUCCCAGGGAAGUGCCCUGCGGACGACAGCGGCUUGGGCUGCAAUUAGGGGUGAAGUCAGACCACUUAAGACACGUAGACUUCCCUGGACGGUUUUCUAACGAGACCAGACAGAGACACCCUUGCUAACAAGUUGCGUCACCUGGCAUGGAUGACCUCAUCGAAUCACCGCGUGUGAGGUAGGCACGAUUGCUCCCAUUUCACUGAAGAGGAAACUGAGACACAGCAAUGUCUCGGAACUUGUUCGGCUCACGCAGGUUUCAAGCAAUAGAGCCAAGAUUUAAAACGUGGGUUCCUAAUAACUUCAUGGCUUACAAGAUGACCUAACUGGGAGGCUGUAGAAAAGUGCUACUGUCCUGUUUACCAAAGUCAAGAGCCAAGAAUUCUUGCCAUUAAUCAUUCCUUAAAGGAGAAAUCAGCACCACCCCACCCACUCCACCCUCCAAUAAGCAAAAACAUAAAAGUGUUAUUUGGGAACACUUACUUAUUAUCACUUCACAUGCCUGAAAUUAGGUAAUCAGAUUAAAAAUUAAUCAUGAAAAUGAACAAAUGGGGACUCCAAUAAAAGGUAAAUAGGUGCCAGGCACUCUCUUAAGCACAUGUCAUGUACUUUAUCAUUAAAUAGUCACAAAAACCCAGUGAGGUCAUACUAUUUCCAAUUUACAGAUUGAGAAAGUGAAGCCCAGGGAGGUUACAUAACUUGCCUAAGGUUAACUAGCCAACACCUGGCAGAACUAAAAUGUAAACCCUUCCUCUUAAAACCUAUUCCAAAUCCCCUCCAUACAUUAAUAAUUCUUCUAUCUGUUAUCUCUAUCACAAACCUGAUCGGGUUCCAAGCAAAUUAGGAAUGAGUUUCUUUUCCUGGGACAGUCUCCCAUCUGUCCCAGGAAAAGAAGAAGGAGACGCCAGGUAUGGCCUCUGGAAACCAGGCAAUUUUUUUGAAACACCUGCUUGGCCCUCCAAAGCAUGCCCUCUCAAGGCAGAACUUUAAUCGAAGCUAAUUUUUCUCCUGAGGGAGGUGAUAAUGAAAAAAGUGAUUGAGAAACACAGCAAGAAUCCACUGGGAAAUGAACUAAGACUGAGCAUGCCCCCCCCCCCACCCACCGCUGCCGCUGUACCCACACUCCUUCCCUGAAUCUGAAUCUGGGCAAUGUUGGCUGCUAACCAGGUGGAGGGGAUGGGGCACACUUUGGGAAGCGCUGCUUCAGACCACAGUCCCCGCCACCAGGCCGCACUCAGGAUGGGGUGUGAGCAGGAGAAAAUCCUUGCCGAUUGCAUUUUCUUUCUUGCCUUCUGAACUCAGAAGGUCCUGAUGCUCAGCUCUGCUCCAACCAGGCCAAGCCUGGGGGAAACCUCCACCAGAGAAGAACAGAAAGAGAAAAGCAUCUGUCUACACGGUUUUUUGUCCCCCUUGCAAUCUACACGCAGCAGCGUUACCCAGCCACCCCCUCCCCAAACACACACUCUGCCUGCCGUUAGUACAUCUCGUGGGGUUUCAGGCCUGUGUCCGUGAGGAUAUGGGGACGGAUUUAUUCAGCAGGAAUGUGGUUACAGACAAAGGAGAAGGAGGAGGGGAAAGAAGCAGAACUCUGCCAGGAAUUCCUCUUGCAAAGGGAAUCUGCUGAAGAAGAUAAGGAGAAACGGAGACUCGGAAGGUGGAGUGAGUCCCCCAAGUUGCAGGGAGUUAACAGCAAGGCUGAGCACAAAACCCGGAGAGCCGAGCCGGGGUGCUCUCUGCCUAUCUGCACAGCCUCUUACAGCCAGGAGUUCUUCUAAUAGCACGCACUAAAAGAAAAUACUCCAGAACGCUGAAAUUGCCAGAGCACCAGCACCCUUUAUAAAGAUUUCUGUGCUGCACAUUUUCAUCUCCUCCACUCGGCAGGAAGGACCACCUUCUUGGUCCAGGUUUCACCCACUCGAACCUAAGCCACCAACACUUGCCUGUAACAAAGCAUUUCCAAGCUGGGGUUUUGGAGGGGGGCCUACAGGCUAUCUUUGACCACCUCCUCCCUUGCCCCUCCUCAGCCCAGUGGGUAUUUUCCGAGCGCAGGCAUUUGGUUUGGCCCUCGCCUAGUGUCCACAGGCGUCCUUGACUGAUGAAACAGACAUGUCUCCAGCGUGA